AACAGGGAGCUGGAUUGGAAAUGGAGCAGCCAGGUUUUGAACCGGCGCCUGUAAGGGAUGCCGGCACUACAGGCAGGGGUUUUACCCGCUGUGCUACAGCACCGGUCCCCCCCCCAAUAAUUCAUUUUUAAAAUAAUGUUUUUGUAGAAGCAGUAUUCUAUACAGAGAUAUAUAAGCAAAAAUUUAAAAAUUAUGUCCAAUACUAGGGAUCACAGUUUAGUGCAUAUCUUUCUGGGUCUUUCCUAUGUUUGCAUAAAUAUGUAUUUGUACAUGUCAUAUUUUAUAAACCAAAUUGAGAUCAUACUGCUUUAUAACUUUUUAAAAUCAUUAAUCUCCCCCUUUCAAUAAUUAUUUUGGAAACAAGGAAUUUAAUCUCAUACUCAUACCACAUUCAGAGAUCCUAUAUGACCCAAGUGGUGUUCACAACUCUCGAGCAAACCAAUAUCCUACCAAACUUCUGUGGCACUUAGCCUGCUGAAGAAAUUGGUCUUCAGAGAAUUGUAGUCAUGCAAAGAGUAGACUAGAAGCAGUAGGGCAGUUUGGUGAGAAAUAACUGCGCAAAGACAGUAAUGGUGGAGAUAGAGAGGUAAAGAUGAAUUUACAAUAUAUUGCAUAGGAGCCGGCGCCGCGGCUCACUAGGCUAAUCCUCCGCCUAGCGGCGCCGGCACACCGGGUUCUAGUCCCAGUUGGGGCGCCGGAUUCUGUCCCGGUUGCCCCUCUUCCAGGCCAGCCCUCUGCUGUGGCCAGGGAGUGCAGUGGAGGAUGGCCCAGGUGCUUGGGCCCUGCACCCCAUGGGAGACCAGGAAAAGCACCUGGCUCCUGGCUCCUGCCAUCGGAUCAGCGCGGUGCGCCGGCCGCAGCGCGCCGGCCGCGGCGGCCAUUGGAGGGUGAACCAACGGCAAAGGAAGACCUUUCUCUCUGUCUCUCUCUCUCACUGUCCACUCUGCCUGUCAAAAAAAUUAAAAAAAAAAAAAAAAAAAAAAAAAAAAAAAAA